rnacentral:lncRNA from 1 species
UGUGAUUAAGUUAGGGCUGUGUACAGUGUUGUGUGUGUGUGAUAAAGUUAGGUCUGUGUACAGUGUUGUGUGUGUCCAAACUUUUGACUAGUACUGUAUAUACUGAACAAAAAUUAACAUAACAUGCAACUAUUUCAAAGAUUUUACUGAGUUACAGUUCACAUGAGGUAAUCAGUCGAUUGAAAUAAAUUCAUUAGGCCCUACUCUAUGGAUUUCACAUGACUGGGGAAAAAAAUGGGCAUCACAAUGGGCCUCAGGAUCUCGUCACAGUACAUUCAGUGCAUUCAAAUUGCCAUCGAUAAAAUGCAAUUGUGCCUGCCCAUACCAUAACCCCACCGCCACAACGUGGCUCUCUGUUCACAACGUUGACAUCAGCGAACUACUCGCCCACACGACACCAUACACAUGGUCUGCGGUUGUGAAGCCGGUUGGACAUACUGCCAAAUUCUCUAAAACAGCGAUGGAGGUGGCUUUUUGUCGAGAAAUGGACAUUCAAUUCUCUGGCAACAGCACUGGUGGACAUUCAUGCAGUCUGUUUGACAUUUGUAUGCUCCCUCAAAACUUCUUCUCUUCUAUUUAUCCAAUUUGAGAAAUCUACUUUUAUAGGACUGCAUAAGUUGCUAUAUCUUUAUACUGACUGUCCAAGAUCCUUUUCCUUAAGGUUGAUCAAUAUUUACUCUAAACUCCAUAGUGCUGUGUUGAAAUCAUUAAGAAUGUAUAAGUAUGAUGGUCUAACAGCAAUCAUGUCUUCUGUGUGUUAAAACCAAACCAUUCCCCUGAUCCCUAUUCAUGUACAGUAGGUUGCACCAAAACCAUCCCUCCAAUCUGAAUUCAUGUCCCCUGUGGGUUACAUCCAAACCCUCUCCCCUUCUCACCUGUCUUCAAAUCUAAUCAAUCACAUUUUUUAUAAGACCUUUUUACAUCAGCAGAUGUCACAAAGUGCUUGUACAGAAACCAAACCUCAAACCCAAAAGAGCAAGUAAUGCAGAUGUCUUGUAUGAGGAUGGCAGGAUGGUUGACAAUUUGACCCCCCAUGGCUCUUCUUCGUGGUGUAGCGUCUUGAUAAAGAGUUUGAGGGCUGUCUUAGAGGCUCCAUACGCUGCUAGGCAGGGGAAGACAUGUUGAUAAGAUGUGAGAUAACUACACUAACUACUUCCCGCACCAACUGAUUGCCUUUUUGAAAAUGAAUCAUGUUUCUGUUUAUGAUUAUCCUGAUUGGGUUGGGCCGAUGUAUAAUAACUAGACACCAACCAAUAUAUUGUUUCAACAAUAUUAUCGUCCAGCAUAUAUACCACCAAUAACCGAUAUUCAAUAAAUAGGAUGAAAAUGGGGAAACUCAUGCUGAUCUGAUGACGUGCGGUCAUUUUCAUGACUGGGGGCGGGGCCACAUUGAUAUUUUAAAUUCUUAUGGGGCCCCUGAUUAGUUUAUCAAUACCGUUCAAUACCGUUCUUCCAAUCACUUGCUUGCUUUUCUGAUGGUAUGAGUCUAUAAAAGCGUUGGAUGAACAAUUGAAUCAGUUUGGGAGAAGACUUCUUGAAGUGUGGUUGGUACCUUUACAGUAAUUUUUACAUUGAAGUAGCUAAUGCUAACACUUUUUUUAUUCAACAAUGGGCAUAACAUGCAAAUGGUGUAGCUAAUGAUGUAAUUACCUUGACAUGCUUUUCAGAUAGUGACUAGACAGAAGCCACUGAGUCUUCUUUAUUCUAAAUGGAAAAGUAAAAUAAAUACAAACUAAUCAAGCUAAUUUAUAAGGUAAAAACCAGUUGCUAGCCAGUCAGCAGAACACACUGUUGCUUCUCAGCAUAGGCAGCUAUCUAUUGCUACUUUUAGUUUCAGCACCUUGCCCGAUCUGUCUCCCCUUUUCCCGGGAACAGCUAGCACACAUAUGUUAGUCAUAGCAACAGUAACUAUGGGGUGGAGUUGUGUAAGAAAAGCAUCGAAUAGCAUCCAAAACGUUUGUUUGUGAAGCAGAUCGGCGCGACAUUCGGUAGGCAGUCAGAUCUGGCACUAACACCGACAGACAGUCAGACAGUCAGACAGACAGACAGACAGACAGACAGACAGACAGACAGAC